UACGUAGGGGGCGAGCGUUGUCCGGAUUUACUGGGCGUAAAGGGCUCGUAGGCGGCCAACUAAGUCAGACGUGAAAUCCCUCGGCUAACCGGGGAACUGCGUCUGAUACUGGAUGGCUUGAGUUUGGGAGAGGGAUGCGGAAUUCCAGGUGUAGCGGUGAAAUGCGUAGAUAUCUGGAGGAAUACCGGUGGCGAAGGCGGCAUCCUGGACCGAGAUUGACACUGAUGAGCGAAAGCUAGGGAGCAAACGGG
rnacentral:rRNA from 1 species